rnacentral:hammerhead_ribozyme from 1 species
AUCAAGCUGACGAAUCUCAAAUAGGAUGAAACGCGCGUCCUGGAU